rnacentral:rRNA from 1 species
UACGGAGGAUGCGAGCGUUAUCCGGAUUUAUUGGGUUUAAAGGGUGCGUAGGCGGGCUGUUAAGUCAGCGGUCAAAUGUCGGGGCUCAACCCCGGCCUGCCGUUGAAACUGGUGGCCUCGAGUGGGCGAGAAGUAUGCGGAAUGCGUGGUGUAGCGGUGAAAUGCAUAGAUAUCACGCAGAACUCCGAUUGCGAAGGCAGCAUACCGGCGCCCUACUGACGCUGAGGCACGAAAGCGUGGGUAUCGAACAGG